CUAUGCCUACGGGAGGCAGCAGUGGGGAAUAUUGGGCAAUGGGCGCAAGCCUGACCCAGCAACGCCGCGUGAAGGAAGAAGGCUUUCGGGUUGUAAACUUCUUUUCUCAGGGACGAAGAAAGUGACGGUACCUGAGGAAUAAGCCACGGCUAACUACGUGCCAGCAGCCGCGGUAAUACGUAGGUGGCAAGCGUUAUCCGGAUUUACUGGGUGUAAAGGGCGUGUAGGCGGGAGUGCAAGUAAGAUGUGAAAACCACGGGCUCAACCGGUGGCCUGCAUUUGAAACUGUACUUCGUGAGUACUGG
rnacentral:rRNA from 1 species